AAAAGAAAGCACAAAGAGAAAGAGAAAAAAGGAACGAAGGAAAAGUGAAGAGAAAGAAGUGAAAUGAAAAGAACCACGCGCUCCACUUGUCUUCUUUUCUUUCACUUGUUUCACUUCAUUCUUUUCCUUCUCCA
rnacentral:ribozyme from 1 species